rnacentral:rRNA from 1 species
UACGAAGGGGGCUAGCGUUGUUCGGAGUUACUGGGCGUAAAGGGCGCGUAGGCGGCGCACCAAGUCAGGCGUGAAAGCCCUGGGCUCAACCCGGGAAUUGCGCUUGAGACUGGUGUGCUUGAGUACGGGAGAGGAUAGUGGAAUUCCCAGUGUAGAGGUGAAAUUCGUAGAUAUUGGGAAGAACACCGGUGGCGAAGGCGGCUAUCUGGACCGUAACUGACGCUGAGACGCGAAAGCGUGGGGAGCAACAGG